AUUUAAUUAGUUUAUAAAAAAAUUUUGAUUUGUGGGAUCAAGGAAGUAUAUUAAAAUACAUUAAAUU
rnacentral:tRNA from 1 species